rnacentral:tRNA from 1 species
UAGCUCAGCUGGUAGAGCAUCUGACUUUUAAUCAGAGGGUCAGGCGUUCGAAUCGCC